GGUGGGAGUUUAUCAAUUUCAUUAAAUGCCACAUAACAUGACAGCCUAAAAAUUGUGGUAAACAAUCAAAUGAGAAUGGCCUCCUAACUGGCAAAAGGUUGAAAUUAACAAAGAAUCGCAAGCUCAAAAACAAAAUACGAGCCAGCAGUAUGCAGAAACAAAUACCGAAAAGAAGAAUACCGUAUCACUUAAGGUUUGCCAGUAGCCGCGAUAACAUUGAACCGACCGACUAUCACGAGGUCCAAAAAAAUAACCACCACAAAAGUACCAACCAACCACAAAUAAAGUUUAAGCGGACACACCGCACCAACUGACGAUAACUCUCGGCAGCAACUGGGCCAGCCAGCAACUGCAGCACACUCAAGACUGACAACAAACCGCUUAGUCCACCUCCUCGAUCUUGGGGCCAGGGCCGCCGCUGCCGGCAGGGGCGUCCUCGUCCAUGCCGCCAGCGCCGCCCAUGUCUUCACCCGCGCCCUGGUACAUCUUGGCGAUGAUGGGGUUGCAGAGGCUCUCCAGCUCCUUCAUCUUGUCCUCGAACUCGUCCGCCUCGGCGAGCUGGUUGGCGUCCAGCCAGCUGAUGGCCGCGUCGAUGGCGUCCUCGAUCUUCUUCUUGUCAUCGGCCGGCAGCUUGGACGCAAUCUUCUCGUCCUUGAUCGUGUUGCGCAUGUUGUAGGAGUAGUUCUCCAGCGAGUUCUUGGCCUCCACCUUCUUCUUGUGCUCCUCAUCCUCAGACUUGUACUUCUCAGCGUCCUGAACCAUCUUCUCGAUCUCCUCCUUGGAGAGACGGCCCUUGUCGUUGGUGAUUGUGAUCUUGUUCUUCUGCCCCGUUGUCUUGUCCUCGGCAGACACGUUCAGGAUGCCGUUGGCGUCGAUGUCAAAGCACACGGUGAUCUGUGGCACACCACGGGGUGCAGGGGGGAUGCCGGAGAGCUCGAACUUGCCCAGCAGGUUGUUGUCGCGUGUCCGGGUCCUCUCACCCUCGUAGACCUGGAUCAGGACACCGGGCUGGUUGUCCGAGUAGGUGGAGAAUACCUGCUCCUUCUUGGUGGGGAUGGUGGUGUUCCUCGGGAUCAGCACUGUCAUAACUCCUCCAGCAGUCUCCAGACCCAGGGACAGAGGGGUGACGUCCAGCAGAAGCAGGUCCUGCACCUUCUCAUUGCCCUCACCGCUCAGGAUGGCAGCCUGGACAGCAGCACCAUAGGCGACAGCCUCAUCGGGGUUGAUGUUCUUGCACAGCUCCUUGCCGUUGAAGAAGUCCUGGAGCAGUUGCUGCACCCUGGGGAUCCUAGUGGAGCCACCAACAAGUACAACGUCAUGGACGGUGCUCUUGUCCAUCUUGGCAUCCCUCAGGCACUUCUCAACAGGCUCCAUGCACUUCCUGAACAGGUCCAUGUUGAGCUCCUCAAACCUGGCACGGGUGAUGGUGGAGUAGAAGUCGAUGCCCUCAUACAGCGAGUCAAUCUCAAUCGUGGUCUGGGCAGUGGAAGACAGAGUCCUCUUCGCCCUCUCACAAGCGGUCCUCAGCCUCCGGAGAGCCCUGGGGUUGCCAGUGAUAUCCUUCUUGUUCUUCCUCUUGAACUCCUGGACGAAGUGGUUGACCAUCCUGUUGUCAAAGUCCUCACCACCAAGAUGGGUGUCACCAGCUGUGGCCUUGACCUCAAAGAUUCCUUCCUCAAUGGUGAGGAGGGAGACAUCAAAGGUACCACCUCCAAGAUCAAAGAUGAGGACAUUCUUCUCACCGACACUGGUAGCCUUCUUGUCAAGACCAUAGGCGAUAGCUGCAGCUGUUGGCUCGUUGAUGAUACGCAGCACAUUAAGGCCAGCAAUCACCCCAGCAUCCUUUGUGGCCUGCCUCUGUGAGUCAUUGAAGUAGGCAGGGACUGUGACCACAGCAUUCUUGAUCGUGCUACCAAGGUAAGCUUCAGCAAUCUCACGCAUCUUGAUAAGAACCAUAGAGGAGAUCUCUUCAGCUGCAAACUGCUUCUCCUCACCCUUGUGCUGGACAACAAUCAUUGGCUUCUCACCAGGCCCAGAAAUGACCUUGAAGGGCCACAACUUGAUAUCACUCUGGACAGACGCAUCACUGAACCUCCUGCCGAUGAGACGCUUGGCAUCUGCAUAUGAACCCAAUCAUGUCAGAAAUGCAUUCUAAUACCAUACAAUUUGAAAUGUAACACAACAACACUUCUGUUAACAAAUACAAAACUUUGAUCAAUCAAAUGAUAUCUGCUUAUGUAACCAAGUAUACCUAACUAAUAAAAAACUGACAUGAGUCAAGAUACCAAUAGCAUAAAGGUCAAUCAACAAACUCCAAUAAUCAGACUGAUUUCAAAAAAAAUACAACUUGCUAGCUAAGAAAAAACAGACGUCAGUUUUUUCAGUCAUAAUCACUUGCCCAAACAGAUAAUGUAAACGGGCAUAUAGUAACUGGAAGCUCAUAAAUGGUCAACCAGUGUCGCAAGAUCCAUUCCCCUUUGUUUUCUGCCAUGUUUCGAGACACACAAUCACGAAAAAUGACUGCGAGUCAGAUACCAAAUGGCAUUGACUGCAACAAAUUACACACAGAAACACUUUGCAUGCAAUAAAACUCAAACUGGCAGUGCAAUCUCAGUCGAAAGAUGGUGAUUUUUGCUGUACUAAUCACAGUGGUUCAGGAAAUUGUCUUGCAUCACGGAUUGCACAUAAAAAACAACAAAUACUAUAGACUUCACAGAACUACUGCCGAAUUACAAGUUACUAUAAAACUGGCAAAAGUUUGCAAUAAAAUUGAAAUGUAGGAGAUCAGAUGGUAGUGCAUGAUGUGAUCAUCACAGUGAAUGCAGAUAUUUCCUAUGUUAUGACUUCAUCACUUCUCCAGUAAAAAUUGUACUACAACGUGAACGUUCUACUCAAGUAAAUCUCAACCACAUGCAUGAUAAAAAAAUAAGAGCAAAUAAAUAGCAGUACAACAUUUUUAAACGUUGGCAAUCAAAGCAAUGAUUGAUGUGCAGAGGUGCCAACCACCAAUCAUAUAAGGUACAAUCUAAAACUAGGGAGCCAAUAGUUGUAGCUAAAGCAAUAUGAUAAGAUAAUGAGAGAUCAGAUGGAGAUGCAUAAUGUUGGCAUCAUAGUAAAUACAGAUAUCUCGUGUGGAUACAAAUAUCAUCACUUAUCCCAUUACUUAACCAAAUAAAACUAAUGGUUUUCAUUUUGUCAUGGCUGGAAGAAGAAAAACCAAACACAAAAUCGAAGGAAACCUAAAAAAACUCUUGAUCUGCAGUUUCAGAUUGAAAACCACAAAAACUAUGAUAGCAUAGUUUUCCAUCACUGGCAUCAGUGGAAUAAAGCGCUUGGGGUAAUUGUUUCAUCAUCAAUCUGCCAAGAGUUGACAAAUAGUACUGCAGAGCCUUCGGACCAGUAUUAUAUACCAAAUAGGUGAUAAAAAACAAAUAGAUCUAAAGCUACCAUGACAAACAAUAACAGAUCUAAACCCAGCCAGAGGAAAAAUAACUACGGAACUACUACAGAUCACAGUCGCCUUCAGAUCCAACCGAUCUAGACAAAAACAUAGCCAAACUAGAUCGGAUCUGAGCUACUUUUACGACAGAAACUUAAACAUAUCAAAUCAAGCAGUAACGUAGAUGGGUCGUAUGGGUCAGACAAAACCGCUAGUCACGGUAAACAAAACGUAUCCGAGCUAGGAAAGGAGUAAGAGCCUAAAUGGUGGAGUGUACUCACCAAAGACGGUGUUGAUGGGGUUCAUGGCGACCUGGUUCUUGGCCGCAUCUCCGAUGAGGCGCUCGGAGUCGGUGAAGGCGACGUACGAGGGCGUGGUGCGGUUACCCUGGUCGUUGGCAAUGAUCUCGACGCGGUCGUGCUGCCACACGCCGACGCAAGAGUACGUCGUGCCGAGAUCGAUGCCGAUAGCCGGGCCAUCGCCCUUGCCGGCCAUCUCUUCUUCUCACUCAGCGGUUGCGGAGCACGGGAAGGGAUUGGCGGCGGCUGAGAAUGGAGCAGGGGACUAGGGUUUCGAGAGGGCGAGAGACUGAGCCGGGCAGUGGCUUUUAUAGGGAACAAAGGGCUCGUCGUCAGCGCGUGGGCUGUGGUGUUCUAGAAUGUUCCUGGGCGCGUCGUGGGGACAUCUGAGCCGUUGGCACGCGAUCGUGUGAACGAAGGCGCAUGGCGGCGUCUUUUCCACGGGCGCCUUUCGGCUAUUUAAACGGCCUUUUUUUUCCUUUCUGGUUGCUUUCACGUGAGUAAAAGGAAUCUUUGACGGAGGGAUGGGUUGUGACCAGAUCUCAGCCCAAGUCAUAUACCAUAAGUGCUGGCCGGCCCGCUUACGCUUAGAACCAGCCCACAGAGACAAGCCUCCCUGAUGAGUCAUUGUUUCGAUACUCAAUAUUCACCCCAAUCCACGUGUAAUAAAGUGGAUUAAAGUGUAAUUUAAACUAAUUUACACUCUAGUUCACCUCAAUACACAUGUAUUGAAGUAAAUAUGAGAGUAUCUAAACAAGGUCUACAUUGAUGAAGAAACUCGAUCAAACACCAUACGAGCUCUUACAAUCCCAUGCAUCCAAAUAAGCUCUACGAGAAACUUAAAUCUCCUUUGAUUAUAUAGGGGAUUUGAGUUUCUAAACUAGCCCUACAAAAUUAUUGCAUUUUUUAUCACAUCGUUUGGAAUAGACGUAGGUUCUUUUUGAAAUAAAAAAAUUGUGCAUAAAUGUAGGUUCUAGCUCUGAGCUUAAUGGAGUUAUGGAAGAUGGAGUCAACAGAGCUCUAGGAGAAGUUGCAAUUAAGACCAGCAAAAAAGUUGGAUGAAACUUCUAACGCCUUGUUCCAUUGCGUUUGAAUUGAAGAAGAUUAAAUCUUUUUCUAUUUAUUUUUUAUUAGGGAGGGAUUUAAUCUCCUUCAAUCCCCUUUGAUUCGGACACAAUCAAACAAGUCCUAAAAAGUUUGACGAGUAUGGGUAAAAACGGGACGUAUACAGACGGAUAGGGGCUCAUCUUGUAUCCUACCCUAAUGUAUUUCAAUCGGAUUCGGGAUCAUAUACAAAUAGUUAGAAACGGGAUAGAUACGGAUACAGCGACCAGAUAUUUAUUUGGACGGAUAAGUGACGGAUACAUAUGUUAUUUGGUCGGAUAUCAGAUACUUGUCGGAUAAUGCAUGAGCUGCUUAUCAUAAAAUAUUCUUGUUCAGCCAGAAAAUUGUAAAUAAAUUAUCAAGACUAAUAAACAUUUUAUAAGCAGAUAACCUCAAGUCCCCACAUAAAAAUGAUAAAGUAAAAUAUUGAUUAUGUUGAAACUUUGAUACUUGAAGUGAUUUUACGUGUAACUCACGCAAUAAAUAGAAGUGAAAUAGAAGAAACGUUGACAUCUUGUGCAUUUUAUGAUCCCAUUAUUUUUAUUGAGUAUAUGUGGUCUUAUGUUGUCCCUAUGUAUAAUUUCAUAAAUUUCUGAUGCUAUUUGUGCAUUAUUAAUUUUUUGUACAGUAAAUCAUCAAAAUGUAACUAAAUUCACAAAACACUCUAGUUUCGACCGAAAAUUGCAAAUAAGUUAUCAAAACUAAUAGGCAUUUUGUACAAAGAUAACCUCAAGUGCCCACAUAAAAAUGAUAAGUGAAGUAUUGAUCAUGUUGAAACUUUAAUACAUAGAACGAUUUUACUUGUAACUCACGCAGUAAGUGGAAGUGGAAUGGAAGAAACGCUGACAUCGUAUGAAAUUUAUGGUCUAAAUGUUUUUAGAACUAUAUGUAUAUUGUUCCUCCGUAAAAAAUAAGAAUUUUUAAAGCUAUUUUGUGUAUUAUUAUUAUUAUUUAUAUAGAAAAUCAUCCAAAUGCAACUGAAAAAAUUCCAAAAACUAAUAAACAUUGUAUACUAAGAUAACCUUAAGUUCCCAUGGGAAAAUGAUAAAGCGGAAUAUUUAUUAUAUUCCAAAAACUAAUAAACAGUCUAGCUAAGUACUCCAUGUUCCUGCUGCAGGUACAUCCGGCUGCAGCCCAAUAGUCAGAAAAGGGAGAUUGAGGCCAUGAGCUCACGUAUUGAAUUAGAGGAUGUUUGGUUCCUUUAGUCACGUAUUAUUAUUUCUAAAUUUUAGUCCCUACAAACAAACACUCGCAUAGAAGCUGUAGAAAAACACUGUUCCAACUAGUCAACCACGUAUGGGGAAAAAAAGAUGAGGACCAGCGGCGAGAAGGAAAAAUGAGAAAACGACCAAAAUUGAGCCUACACUUCGUUGCUACGUAUAGUGUUGCUGACUUGUUAAGGCAAAGGGGCAAAGUGGACAAUGUUUACUAUUCUGUGAAGUAGAACCAGGCGUCCUUACUUCGAAGGCCCAACAUCCUGGUUGUUGGGGUAUGCUUCGUAGCCGAAGAUUCUAAAGAAAGAGAACACCUUCGAAAGGUCUUCUCAGGAGCAAGCGCCGAAGCUAUUAUCUAUAAAGCUUCGGCACAAUGACAGAUCUCAAGAUAAAGAGCCGAACCGACUUAAAGAUGGAUUGACUUAAAGACCCAUAAUGUUUUGUGUCAUUAUUGUAGUCGAUUAUAAAGGACAUAAAUGUAAUUUUACGCAGAUUGCACCCUGUGCCUAUAAAUAGGUGAAUAGUACCCCGACACUGUUCAUGGAAUCCUGUAAUCACUGGCACAUUACGCUUGAAUUAUUGCUUUCCGCCAAGGCGAAGGUAUAAAUGUGCCCAAAUACUAUGUUUUAAUAUUUAUAUUCAUACAAUAAAAUGUGUGAAUAUGUUUUAUACUUUGUACUUCAUUUUUCAUUAUUCAUUGUUUUGCAAGUAUGAUCACGAAGGUAAAAUCUUCGUGAUAUUUUACUCAUGACCUUCGUCCGAAGCUCAUUGGAUCCUUGGGGAGACAAUGCUUCAUCGGACGAAGGGCUUUAAUACUUAACAUCUUUGUGUUGCCUUGUUCUUAAUUCAUAGCAUUUGAGAACAAGUCCCCAAUAUUGGCGCCCACCUCCGGUGAACUCACUUCCACUUUCUGAGCUGAUGGCUUCGUUCAAAGCUGGAGUUGCUUCGGCUUCGAAGCUCGUACUCCCGAUAACAGGCGGUUCAUGCUCAAAGACAGCCAACAAGAAGCAGAAGAAGGAGGCACAGAGAAGGGUACAGCAUGUCGGGGUGCAAGGACCCUUCAUCAAGUCAAGAUGGUCCCACAUCCCGAUUACCUUCUCCCAAGAGGAUCUUCAGCUCAAGGAUUACCUUCACAAUGAUGCUAUGGUUAUUUCUUGUGUUAUCAAAAGAUUUUUGGUCCACAAUGUUCUGGUCGACACAGGCAGUGCAGCGGAUAUUAUAUUUGCUAAGGCCUUCAGACAGAUGCAAGAGCCCGAAGAUAAGAUCCAUGACGCCACACAUCCCCUUUGUGGCUUCGGAGGAAGGCAGAUUGUAGCACUUGGCAAGAUCACGAUACCAGUGACCUUCGGAUUUAUCAACAAUACAAGGACUGAACAAGUUGUGUUUGAUAUUGUUGACAUGGAGUACCUUACAACACAAUCAUUGGUCGUGGUACUCUCAAUGCUUUUGAAGCAAUUCUUCAUCCAGCAUAUCUUUGCAUGAAGAUACCUUCGGAUCAAGGGCCUAUUGCUAUUCAUGGAAGUCAGGAAGCUGCCAGAAAGGCCGAAGGAAACUGGACAGAUUCAAAAGCAAUCCAUAACAUAGAUGGAGCCGAAGCUUGUGAGCAAUACAAGUACAGAAGGGAGAAAGCUGCCUCGGCUGAUCAGCCGAAGCCCAUGCUCUUAUGUGACGAUAUAGCAGAGCAGAAGGUGCUAUUGGGAUCUCAAUUGUCUGAAGAGCAGGAGAAAACCCUA
rnacentral:lncRNA from 1 species